rnacentral:misc_RNA from 1 species
ACAAGGACAAGCGGACCUCGCC